CUUACCUGCAGUCGAACGGUGAAGCCCAGCUUGCUGGGUGGAUCAGUGGCGAACGGGUGAGUAACACGUGAGCAAUCUGCCCCUGACUCUGGGAUAAGCGCUGGAAACGGCGUCUAAUACUGGAUACGAACCGUGGAGGCAUCUUCAACGGUUGGAAAGAUUUUUUGGUCAGGGAUGAGCUCGCGGCCUAUCAGCUUGUUGGUGAGGUAAUGGCUCACCAAGGCGUCGACGGGUAGCCGGCCUGAGAGGGUGACCGGCCACACUGGGACUGAGACACGGCCCAGACUCCUACGGGAGGCAGCAGUGGGGAAUAUUGCACAAUGGGCGAAAGCCUGAUGCAGCAACGCCGCGUGAGGGAUGACGGCCUUCGGGUUGUAAACCUCUUUUAGCAGGGAAGAAGCGAAAGUGACGGUACCUGCAGAAAAAGCGCCGGCUAACUACGUGCCAGCAGCCGCGGUAAUACGUAGGGCGCAAGCGUUAUCCGGAAUUAUUGGGCGUAAAGAGCUCGUAGGCGGUUUGUCGCGUCUGCUGUGAAAUCCCGAGGCUCAACUUCGGGUCUGCAGUGGGUACGGGCAGACUAGAGUGCGGUAGGGGAGAUUGGAAUUCCUGGUGUAGCGGUGGAAUGCGCAGAUAUCAGGAGGAACACCGAUGGCGAAGGCAGAUCUCUGGGCCGUAACUGACGCUGAGGAGCGAAAGGGUGGGGAGCAAACAGGCUUAGAUACCCUGGUAGUCCACCCCGUAAACGUUGGGAACUAGUUGUGGGGUCCAUUCCACGGAUUCCGUGACGCAGCUAACGCAUUAAGUUCCCCGCCUGGGGAGUACGGCCGCAAGGCUAAAACUCAAAGGAAUUGACGGGGACCCGCACAAGCGGCGGAGCAUGCGGAUUAAUUCGAUGCAACGCGAAGAACCUUACCAAGGCUUGACAUAUACGAGAACGCUGCAGAAAUGUAGAACUCUUUGGACACUCGUAAACAGGUGGUGCAUGGUUGUCGUCAGCUCGUGUCGUGAGAUGUUGGGUUAAGUCCCGCAACGAGCGCAACCCUCGUUCUAUGUUGCCAGCACGUAAUGGUGGGAACUCAUGGGAUACUGCCGGGGUCAACUCGGAGGAAGGUGGGGAUGACGUCAAAUCAUCAUGCCCCUUAUGUCUUGGGCUUCACGCAUGCUACAAUGGCCGGUACAAAGGGCUGCAAUACCGUGAGGUGGAGCGAAUCCCAAAAAGCCGGUCCCAGUUCGGAUUGAGGUCUGCAACUCGACCUCAUGAAGUCGGAGUCGCUAGUAAUCGCAGAUCAGCAACGCUGCGGUGAAUACGUUCCCGGGUCUUGUACACACCGCCCGUCAAGUCAUGAAAGUCGGUAACACCUGAAGCCGGUGGCCCAACCCUUGGGAGGGAGC
rnacentral:rRNA from 1 species